GCUUGCACCUGAUUGACGAUGGAUCACCAGUGAGUGGCGGACGGGUGAGUAACACGUAGGUAACCUGCCCCGGAGCGGGGGAUAACAUUUGGAAACAGAUGCUAAUACCGCAUAACAACAAAAGCCACAUGGCUUUUGUUUGAAAGAUGGCUUUAGCUAUCACUCUGGGAUGGACCUGCGGUGCAUUAGCUAGUUGGUAAGGUAACGGCUUACCAAGGCGAUGAUGCAUAGCCGAGUUGAGAGACUGAUCGGCCACAAUGGAACUGAGACACGGUCCAUACUCCUACGGGAGGCAGCAGUAGGGAAUCUUCCACAAUGGGCGCAAGCCUGAUGGAGCAACACCGCGUGAGUGAAGAAGGGUUUCGGCUCGUAAAGCUCUGUUGUUGGAGAAGAACGUGCGUGAGAGUAACUGUUCACGCAGUGACGGUAUCCAACCAGAAAGUCACGGCUAACUACGUGCCAGCAGCCGCGGUAAUACGUAGGUGGCAAGCGUUAUCCGGAUUUAUUGGGCGUAAAGCGAGCGCAGGCGGUUGCUUAGGUCUGAUGUGAAAGCCUUCGGCUUAACCGAAGAAGUGCAUCGGAAACCGGGCAACUUGAGUGCAGAAGAGGACAGUGGAACUCCAUGUGUAGCGGUGGAAUGCGUAGAUAUAUGGAAGAACACCAGUGGCGAAAGGCGGCUGUCUGGUCUGCAACUGACGCUGAGGCUCGAAAGCAUGGGUAGCGAACAGGAUUAGAUACCCUGGUAGUCCAUGCCGUAAACGAUGAGUGCUAGGUGUUGGAAGGGUUUCCCGCCCUUCA
rnacentral:rRNA from 1 species